AUGAACGCUGGCGGCGUGCCUAAUACAUGCAAGUCGAGCGAACGGACGAGAAGCUUGCUUCUCUGAUGUUAGCGGCGGACGGGUGAGUAACACGUGGAUAACCUACCUAUAAGACUGGGAUAACUUCGGGAAACCGGAGCUAAUACCGGGUGAUAUUUUGAACCGCAUGGUUCAAAAGUGAAAGACGGUCUUGCUGUCACUUAUAGAUGGAUCCGCGCUGCAUUAGCUAGUUGGUAAGGUAACGGCUUACCAAGGCAACGAUGCAUAGCCGACCUGAGAGGGUGAUCGGCCACACUGGAACUGAGACACGGUCCAGACUCCUACGGGAGGCAGCAGUAGGGAAUCUUCCGCAAUGGGCGAAAGCCUGACGGAGCAACGCCGCGUGAGUGAUGAAGGUCUUCGGAUCGUAAAACUCUGUUAUUAGGGAAGAACAUAUGUGUAAGUAACUGUGCACAUCUUGACGGUACCUAAUCAGAAAGCCACGGCUAACUACGUG
rnacentral:rRNA from 1 species